rnacentral:lncRNA from 1 species
AAAUAGGUUAGAAUAUCUUGUUCAUUGGUAUAGAUAUGAUAUUAGUGAAUACACAUAGAUGCCAUCAGAGAAUCUUAUAAAUAUAGUAAAGAAAGUUGAAGUCUUUCAUCAAUGACAUCCAUCAAAAUCAAGAUAAAGAAUAGCUAAUCUUUGCUAUAAAAGAAACAAGAUCAAAGAAAAAUAACAUUCUACCUUCUAUUUUUUAUUAUAGCUUUUGUGUAUUUGUGAUGAGAUGGAGCACCAACAACUAGCAGAUUCAACUUAAGACCUUUCAUUUGUGGACUUACCGAACGAGAUAUUA